ensembl:lncRNA
CGGAGAACUGAGGCAGGUGUCGCCCUUCCUAGGUACUGCCAAGCUGCCAUCUCUCUUCCGCUGUGACUGCUUCCCCAGGAGGGAGGCUGCCUGGCCCACCUUGGUUCAGUAUGUUUGUGAAUAUUUGAUUUUCGCAGAAGACAAAAGAGGGUAAGAGCUCUGGAAUUCAAUAGAAGGUCAGAAGAGCCAUCUUUUGCCUGCUGCGGCUUCCUUUUAGACCCUGACAUCUGGCACCCAUUACCGGGACAAAUUAGAGCAAUUCCAAGCAGCCGCAGAAGGGGAAGACUUCCUGUUUUCAGGCCGCGCAGUUAUCAAUGCGAACACAGGAACUGAGGAUUAGAACAAUGCAGCCUUAGAAACAGAUUUGCGGCACUGGCUUUGCCGGCUAAAAGCAUAGCUCCUGGGAAUUUCUGCAGAGGAAAACAGCAAGCAGUACUGUUCAAAUAGAAUACAGAAGUUACAUUUCUGGGUGACUCACUCAGUGACCAUGCUGGGUUUUCAUCUAUUUUGCGAUACAAAUCUGUUUAGUGCCUGGAGAAUCCCAGGGACAGAGGAACCUGGUGGGCUGCCUUCUAUGGGGUCGCACAGAGUUGGACACGACUGAAGCGACUUAGCAGCAGCAGCAGCAGGCAGUCUCUGACUUGCAACCCCUUUUAUUUUCUGAUGCAACGCGACAUCAUCAAUUCCUUUUCCCGAUGGCAGCCAUCCACAAUGCCCGUCUGUGGAAGGGCACGGCAGCACCGUCAAUGUCUGCCCAGUUAGCAGCGGUCAUUCUCUCAGGGCGCUCCGAUUCAUUCCAGCCUCUCCCCAACCUCCUCAAAGCGCUGGUCUCUACUGUCUCCGCCGUUCUCUCUCUUUUGGAAUGCCAUCUAGUCAGACUCAUAUAGUAUACAGUCUUUUCAAAUUGGUUGCUUUCACUUAGUAAUAUGCAUUUAAGAUUUUUCCAUGUCCUUUCACUGUUUGAUAGCUCAUUUAUUUGUAUUAAU